AUGGCUACUGCACCCAUGUAUGGUAUUACCGUAUGACAAGGUGCACACACGGAGUGUGUACUACCGUGAUGAGCUGGGCUUCUUGUACAGAGACCAUGACCUGCCAUGCUAACACAGCUGAGACUUUGUCCGAUUCCUGUCGCUCGAAGAAACCCACAGGCUUGCCCCUGUGUUCAGAGAUGGGGCUUGAAAGAGCGGACUUGCCUACUAUGAUGAGAUGUAAUACCAGAGGAACGGCUAAGCUGAGAUAGAAAGAUUAGCGGAGAGGAGCAAUUUGCCAUCUACAAUGGGGCUGCCCCAGCAGACAUGAACACGACGUUCUAAAGAACUAAGCUAAUAAUGCACAAAAGCCCAGGACCCCACCAUUUAGCUCGCGUCUCCCCUCCUCAUUUAAAAUUCUCUGGAAACAGCCUUACAGAUACUCUCCGAGCUGUGUCUUCUAGGUGAUUCCAAGUCCAGUCAACUUGACAACUAAAGAAAAGGUAAGCUUCACAGUGGUCAGAGAGGAAACCUAUUAUUAUUAUAAUUAAAAAAAAAUAAAAUUGUGUGUGCGUGUGUGUGUGUGUGUGUGUGUGUGUGUGUGUGUGUAUGUAUGAAUACAUUGACCUCAGAAGUAUCAGAUUCUUUGCAGCUACAGGUAAGCCACCUGUCAUGGGUGCUGGGAACCAAACUAGGGUCCUCUGCGAGAAUGGGACAUAGCCUUAACCUGUAAGCCAUUCCUCUAGGCAUUUCUCCAGUAACCCCACCAACAUUUUUGGGGACACGGCCUCACUUGACCUUGGGCUGUCCUUCAGUUCAGCUACGUAGCCAGCUUCUGACCUCACCUUCUGAUCUUUCUGCUUUCACCAGUGCUGGGACUUACAGGUGUAAACCACCAUUCCAGGUUUGUAUGUACUGGGGAAGAGCGAUGGGGUUUGAUCUGGUCUACAAACUCAGUCGCAUCCCUACAGUUAGGACUUUAAACAACCAGUCCAGGCUGUAGUCCUGUCGUCCUCUGUGACCUUCAGAGAGGGAACAGCUUCUGGACUUCCAAGUCCUCCAGGAGGUAGGACUCUGCACACCCUGACUAAGGUGGUCAGGGAGAAGAGAGGUAUCAGGGUAUUUUUUUCCUCGAUGGCUCUGGUUGGUUACUGUGAAGCCCUCUCGGAUUUCCCAGCUCACCACUAAUGGCCUAACUACCUGGAAUCAAUCUCUACCUGACUCUCAUUGAUGAAUCGAUUUGCCCAGCUUUCUCUCUUGCAUUUUGGCACCAAACCUCCUUCAGGUACCUAUUAAGUUUUAAACCUAAGACCCAGACACCAGAUCCUAAAGAAGAACAACAUCCAUAAUUUGGGUUAAUUAAAAUGCCUCCGAAGGAACAGGUGACAGAUGUCAAGCCUCCUGGCACCGGAAGGAAGACACCUCCACAGACUAUUAGGAUUCCUGUGUUAAUCAGGUAAUAGUAACUUGGGUAAUUAGCAAAUCACACCAAAUCUUGUUUAAGUCCCAAAUCUCAUUUAGAGCCUUUUGGAGAAACCGUUUAAAUACAAAGGACACGGUCUCCUAGUGAGAGAAGAUGACUGCUUACUAGGGCAGACAUACCAGGCUUCCUGCCUCUAUUAAAUCCAUUUUAAUUACAAAGUCUCAGUGUCUAAUUCACCACAAUUGGAACGAGAGAGUGCCUUUUCCUUUGUCCUUACUAAAACUCUGAGAACCCCAGGCUCUGGAAUUCUGGGUGACUGAAAAUUCAGCAAGUCCCAUGCUAGGAAUAUGGUGGUAGUCUUUGUCACCUGUCUUCAACAGUACCCUGAGGACUGUGAAAAGAACUCUCUGACUUUGUCCAUUUCUAAAGAUCCAUCCACCCAUCCACACACCCACCCAUCCACACACCCACCCAUCCACACACCCACCCAUCCACACACCCACCCAUCCACACACCCACCCAUCCACACACCCACCCAUCCACCCACCCAUCCAUCCAUCUUUGAGAUAAAAAUCUAGCCUUGGCUGUCCUAGAGCUCUCUAUGUAGACCAGGCUGGCCUCAAACACACAGAUCAGCCUGGCUUUGCCUCUCCAGUGCUGGGAUUAAGGCAUGACCCACCGUGCCCAGCUAAGUCUUUAUUUGUGUUAAAUCUUCUGUAUGUGUAUAGACCUGUGUGUGGUUACAUGAAUGUGCGUGCAGCUUCUCCCAAAGACCAGAAGAAAGCACUGGAUCCACGGGAGCCGGAGUUAAAGGUUGCUGAAGCCACCUGAAGUGGGUGCUGAGAAUUGAUCUCCUGUUUCCUGCAAUGAGCACCAGGCGCUCCCGACCACUUAGUCAUCUCUGUAGCCUUCUUGUGUUCAUGAUUAAAUCAUAAUUCAUAAGAAUGAUUUUGACCACUAAUACCUCUCUGUAGAAGGAACCAAAAGAUUCCUGAGGCUGGAAGUGACCACAAGAUAUAUAUUCACAUUGUAUUGAAUAGUCAAGCAAAGCGAGCAUGCUCUCCUCUGACUUCCUUUCCUCCCUCUUUGAGCUAACACGCUUUUCGGUGUGGCAGAUGUGUACACUUUUGUGUUUUUAUAUACUUGUAUGGGUUCGUGUGUGUGUGUGUGUGUGUGUGUGUGUGUGUGUGCAAAAGGAAAAAAAAAAGACUGACCUCCAGUCUCCUGCAUGAGCACCAAGCACUCUUGAUCACAGUCAUAAAGUUUUUAAAAAGACAUGUCAGUAUUUAUUGUGUCCACAUACCACAUGCUUGUGUCCAUGCCCCAGACAUGUGUACAAGUGGCAAUCGGAGAAUCAGAGGACGACUUUCCGGAGUUGGUUCUCUUCUUCCAUUAUGUGUGUCCUGGAGAUUAAACCUGGGUCACGAGGUUAGGCAUCAAGUACUUUUACACUCUGAUGCACUGUUUUUAUUAUUUUAUUUUUCAGGUUGUGAGCCUAGCCUUGAACUGUGAGCCAUCUCUCCAGUUCCUUUUGUUUUUGUUUUUGUUUUUUUUUUUUUAAGACAAGCUUCUCAUUGGCCUGGAACUUCCUUCCCCAGCACUGGGAUGCCAAAGGUGCACAUGACACCAGACUUGUGUGUGUGUGUGUGUGUGUGUGUGUGUGUGUGUGUGUGUGUGUUCUGGAGAUCCCAUUCAGAUCCUCAUUCCUAACAGAUCAGUUACCUCCCCAACCCUUGAGCUGUUACUUGGAAGCAUUUUUUUUUUUAAAGAUUUAUUUAUUUAUUAUAUAUAAGUACACUGUAGCUGUCUUCAGAUACACCAGAAGAGGGCAUCGGAUCUCUUUACAGAUGGUUGUGAGCCACCAUGUGGUUGCUGGGAAUUGAACUCAUGACCUCUGGAAGAGCAGUCGGGUGCUCUUAACCUCUGAGCCAUCUCUCCAGCCCACUUGGAAGCAUUUUUAUAGAGCUCUUUGCCAUGUCCCUCUCUAUUUGGAGCUAAAUAUUACUGAGUUCCCAUGCCGUCACUGGGUUCAGAUUAGCUCAGCCUGGGCUUGUUUCAACAAGACAAGUGUUUUUUGUUGUUUUUUGUUUUUUGUUUGUUUUUUGUUUGUUUCUUUUUUUCGGAGCUGGGGACCGAACCCAGGGCCUUGCGCUUCCUAGGUAGUAGAUCUUCCUAGUGGUAGAUUUAGCUCUACCACUGAGCUAAAUCCCCAACCCCCAAGACAAGUCUUAAAGCUGGUGACUCUUGUGUGUUCCUUGCUCUCAUUUACUUAGAGAGGACCAGGGAAAGAAUCCAAGAUUAGUUAGUGGAGUACUUCAGGCUUUACCUGUCACAAUGCUUGAAUGCUUCAACCUUAUUUUUUUUCUGCCUUUCUUUCUGUUUCUACUACAACAUCACCCAUUAGCCUUGGUGGAUGGAGGUGGUGGUGAGGGACUGGAUGUCAUCUUUGAUAGAAAAAAUAUAAAAAUUGAAACCAUGCUGGGGCACAGAAAUCGGAUAACUUGGACUGAGGAUUCAGCUUGGGUAUCAUCUUAGUAUCUUUUUCUCUUGCUGUGAAAAAAAAAACUUGAAUAACAGCAACUUAAGGGGUAAGUUUACAGCUUAAAUAUAGUCCAUCAUGGGGGGGAAAUCAAAGCGGGAGCUUGAAGCAGCUGGUCACAUCAUCAAGAAGAUAGUCUUGUAGUCAGGUCAACUUUUUCCACUCUACACAAUCCAGGAAUGGUUUCAAUCACAACCAAGAUGGGUCUGCCCACAUCACAGGUAUUCAAAGCCCAGCUCCACUGAGUCUAGAGUAUGUCCAACCCACCACCAACGUGUAUCAUCACAGCUACUUAGCACAUCUGGGAAACAUCCAAGCUGGUCUCUGAGACUCUUUGAACCCCAUCUGCUAAAUUCAAGCGAGAGUGUCUCUCCCCUGUGAUUCACAGGGGUGGCAGGAGAAUGAACGUCGAGUAACAUUCUACAAGCUGUUUCCUCAAAACUUGCAAAGGAGACAGAACUUAAUGCAAUUCCAUAGACAUAUCCUGGAAACAGGGAAGCUGCCUCCCUGCUUCUAUGCCUGCUUGCCUUCUGAGUCCACUACUGAUGACAGAAAUGGCCCGUGCUCCUUAGACACCAAGCACAGUAUCUUCUCUAGGAGGAUGAGCCACAGGGGCCUGGGUAGAUGCUGUACAAAGCAUGAGGAUCUGAGUUCAGAUAUCUAACAUAAACAUAACUAUUAUUCACAGUGACACAUGGUUGUAACCCCAGAACUGGGGAGACAGACCAGGGAUAUCUUUGCUGGCCAUCUAGUUGGGCUGAAUUAACAAGCUCCAUGUUCAGUGAGAGACCCUGUCUCAAAAGCUUAAGGAUAGAAGCCAAUUAAAGAAGACACUUGACUGUGACCCUGGUCUCCCCAUGCACAUGUACGUGUGAGACUCUCUAUGGACAACGACACACACACACACACACACACACACACACACACACACACCUACCUUGGCCAUACGAGAACAGAAUGGUAGCAGGAAGAGAUGUGAGGAUUGGCAGUUUCAUAUAUUUGCCAUGUAAGUACCUUUCGACCAACAGAACAGGAUCUGUUAUGUCAACUAAUGACUUGGAAAACAAAAGACCCAGGGUGGAUGGAUGGCUCAUCAGUUAAGAACACCAGUUGCUUUGCCAGAGGCCCCAGGUUAUAUUCCUAGUACCUACAUGGGAGCUCACAACAAUCUAUAAUUCCAGGUAUCCUCUCAUGACCUCCCUGGGCACCAGGCAUAUAUGUGGUACACACAUAUCCAUGCGGCAAAACAGCCAUAAAUAAAUUACUUAAAACAAGUUAAUAUGAAGAGAAGCUAAGUAGGUUAUACAGAGUCACUAAGAGGAAAACAUCUUUUUUUUUUUUUUUUUUUUUUUUUUUUUGUCUGUAGCUGAGGAUGAUCUUGAACUCCUGAUUCUCAACACCUCAACACCAGGCACAUAACAUCAUGCCCCAUUUAUGUAGUGCAGAAGACCAAACCCAGGACCUCUGCAUGCUGGACAAUCACUUUAUCAACUGAGCCACAUAUGUAACACCAACACCAGUUAUGGGACUGACACAGUUGGUCAGUGAUGUGGACAGGGCAUAUCAGCAUUCAGAGAGCUAUAAGAGAGUUAGGAUAGAGAGACGGGCUUGGGACAAAUGUGUUAAUUAGGUGAGUGGUAAAUGUCUGAUGUGCCUAGAAGGAGACAGUGAGGGUCUCUGACAGUAAUUCAUACAGCAAUUCACUACAGCAACCGACAAGAAUCGGAGUCAUUUUCGAUGACACCUUGCUACAGAUAUGAUUUUGAGGGUGGGGUGGGCUUCCCACUUCAAACUUGGUACCUUCUCUUCCUAGAAUAUAACUUCCUAGUUAUUUUCUUGGUCCACUACUGCUCACCAAAAUCAGAUUUUCCAGAAAGCCUGUGUGUGUGUGUGUGUGUGUGUGUGUGUGUGUGUGUGUGUGUGUAUGUUGUACUUCUGCAGUACCCCCACCUACAGUUCCAGAGCGCGGAGUGAGUUAUAUGUCUAUAUCUCUGUGGUAGAAGAGGCUGGCUUAACUUGUUUCCCAUUGUGUCCCUAGGCCUGUUCUGAAGUCUAGAAUAUGGUAGUAAAAUUGAACAGUCAUGUGACCUGAAACUAGAAAUGGCAGUAUAUUAGAUCAUAAACACAGAGACAAGGUGUCUUCAAAAAAUCAAAGGAAUGAGUCUGUUACCCUCAAAGAUGAAUGACCUUUAAUAAGAAAUGAAGGGUGUGGCCUUGGUUCAGCGGUAUCAUCAUCCUAGAAUAACCAAGGUGUUGGAAGCUCAGCGGUAGAGCCCCUGCCUAGAAUCCCCCCAAUGAGGGGCUGGGGGCGUGGCUCAGUGGUAGAGCCCCUGCCUAGAAUCCCCCAGUGAGGAGCUGGGGGCGUGGCUCAGCGGUAGAGACCCUGCCUAGAAUCCCCAGUGAGGGGCUGGGGCGUGGCUCAGUGAUAGAGCUCCUGCCUAGAAUCCCCCAGUGAGGAGCUGGGGGCGUGGCUCAGCGGUAGAGCACCUGCCUAGAAUCCCCCAGUGAGGGGCUGGGGGCGUGGCUCGGUGGUAGAGCCCCUGCCUAGAUCCCAGUGAGGGGCUGGGGGCGUGGCUCAGUGGUAGAGCCCCUGCCUAGAAUCCCCCAGUGAGGGUCUGGGGGCGUGGCUCAUCAAUAGAUCACUAUGCACAAAGCCUUAAGUUCCAUCUCCAGGAUAUUGCUCAGCAGGCUCCCUGUAUAUCCUCUGGGAGAGUAGCCACCAUUCCCAAAGACAGAAGGCAUUAGCCAGAAGCACUUUUCUGAACUUUUUGGAACCUUUGGCAAAUUCAAAACAACUUCUAUCUUCCUCCCCACCACAAAAUCAAAACAACCCCACCACCACCCAAGAUGAAGGACUGUGAGGCAUUUUGUUUUCCAUCUUGCUAAUUUUUCUCGGCUGCUGGAGGUGAAAAACCAAAGUAGGACUCCAUCUCCCAGAGGCUGUGGUCCAAAUCAAACUAAGGAAAAUGGGUGGGGCUGGGGCAAGUAAAACAGAGACCCUCAGCACCACAGAGAGCUAAUGUCUGCGAAACGGGCAGAGGGGGCUGGUGGGUGGCACUCGAGUUCAUGCCUCAUGUACACCUGCAGUGAGGAAGGCCCCCAACCCCUGUGCCAGCUCUCACGAGGCCAGGCAGACAGUACUGGUUUUGUUGCUAGCCCCCCUCUUUUGGUGGGGUGCUUUCUUCCCGCACAGCAGGCAGGGCGGUGAGAGCUGACAAGCACUGGUAGAAUUUUAAAAAUUGCUACCACUCUCCCACAAGACGUCCAUUAUUUCUCCAGAGCCGUACGAUUCACAGCAUAAAAGCAUAAUCAAGAGAAAUCGUGGCUCGGCUCAGCCAGAGAUGGGCAGAAUAGUCCAUUUAACUUUAUGUUAAAAAAAGGUAAAAUAAUUGGACCAAAAUCUGUUUGAAAUGGGAGUAGGAAAUGGCUUGUUUUCAAUCUAUUUCGAACGAAAAAAAAAAAAACCCAUUAAACCCUCAUUGGAAACUAUUUAGUUUGGAAACAAGUUUAGUAUUCCAUAGAUGGUGAGUGUUGAAAGUUGUGGCAGAGCACAGCCUGUGUGGGGACUGCCCAACUAUCUGAUGACCUAGUUCCAAAGGGUUCUGGAAAAAAGAGUGUUGGCUGGGCUGGGGCAGUUCACAGCCUGGCUGCUGGCCUUACAGCAAAAUCUGCAAGACACAACUGACUGGAGAAAAGGAAACCUUUCAAGUUGAUGGAAAAGCCCUAGGGACCUUGGGCUGGCAAACAGAAUCAUGGCUCCAAGAGCAAGGAGAAACUGAAGGCAGUGGAGGGUGGAGCUGGGCUGUCGAGGAGAUGGGAGUGAAUCCUUAGGGCUAUGCCACCCUGGGACUUAGCCUCACAAAUGACAGGACACUUGGGGUUGGGAAGAUGGUUCUGGGUAAAGUGCUUGCCUUACGAGUAGGAAGAGUUGAGCCUGAACCCCAGAGCCUACCUACAAAGCCAGGUGUGGUGGCACAUGCUUGUAAUCCCAGAGCCAGGGAAGUGAAGAGAAGGGGAACCCCACCCUAGGGUACUUGGUGAGUUCCAGGCCAGUGAGAGAGCCUGUCUCCAAAAUUACGAUGGCAAGACAGCUUAGGAAUAAAGGUGACGUCCGCCAAGCCAGAACUUGACUACAUCUGGAAUGAGCUACAAUAGAGAAACAGAGGGCACACCUGUGAUCCAGAUCUUGAGGCUGGAAGACACAGGCUUCUGACCUGGACCUUGAGGCAUAGUAGCCAUGAAAAGUUCAGGCCCAGGCAAGGUAGUACACGCCUUUAAUCUUAGGAGACUGAGGCAAGCAGAUCCCUGAGUUCAAGGUCAGCCUGGGACAAAGGAAGUUAGUUUUAGAUCCAGGCACGGCGGAACACACCUUUAAUCUGGGCCACACCUUCUGCUAGAGGCCUACAUAAGGACUUUGGAGGAAGGAAGACUCAUUCCUCUUUGCCUGCUUGCAGUUAUCUGCCAGCAAAUCUGUUGGAACCUAAUUCGACAGAAGACAGCUUAAACAGUUACUCUCACAGGACUGAGCAACUAUCAGAUUUCUAGACUUCCAUUCACAAGCUGCCCAUUGUUGGGCUAGUUGGAUUGCAGACUGUAAGUCACUACAGUAACUUCCCUUAAUAUAUAGAGACAUUCUGUAAGUUCUAUGACUCUAGAGAACCCUGACUAAUACACUUGAGUUCCAUCCCCAGGAUCCAUAUGAUGGAAGGAGAGAACUGACUCCCCUAAAGCAGGCUCCUGAUCUCCGCAUCUGCCCGCACACACAGAACUAACAAACAAACGUAAUUAAGGAAACAAAACACAAAACCCAACAAAAUGAAUAGUACCUGAAUAACAAAACCAGGAGCUGAUUUCUGGCCUUCAAAUGCACACACACACACACACACAUACACUUAGAAAUACUAAAAACACUCAUGCUAACACAAACAGCUAGCUGACAGGCCUAGAAUAAGACAUCCCAUGCCCGCGCCUCUAGGGGACAUGUACCCUGAGAACAUCUUUGGAUGCAGGGCCGUAGGAAGAGGCUGGCCUACUGUGUCCUUUUCAUGCAUGCUGUGGUCACCUGCCAUGGGGU